rnacentral:rRNA from 1 species
AGGACGAACGCUGGCGGCGUGCUUAACACAUGCAAGUCGAGCGGUGAUCCCCCUUCGGGGGGUGAUCAGCGGCGAACGGGUGAGUAACACGUGGGCAACCUGCCCCUCACACUGGGAUAACCUCGGGAAACCGGGGCUAAUACCGGAUACGACCUCGAGCGGCAUCUCUUGAGGUGGAAAGCUCCGACGGUGAGGGAUGGGCCCGCGGCCUAUCAGCUAGUUGGUGGGGUAAUGGCCUACCAAGGCGACGACGGGUA